rnacentral:rRNA from 1 species
AACGAACGCUGGCGGCAUGCCUAACACAUGCAAGUCGAACGAGACCUUCGGGUCUAGUGGCGCACGGGUGCGUAACGCGUGGGAACCUGCCCUUAGGUUCGGAAUAACUCCCCGAAAGGGGUGCUAAUACCGGAUAAUGUCUUCGGACCAAAGAUUUAUCGCCUUUGGAUGGGCCCGCGUUGGAUUAGCUAGUUGGUAGGGUAAAAGCCUACCAAGGCGACGAUCCAUAGCUGGUCUGAGAGGAUGAUCAGCCACACUGGGACUGAGACACGGCCCAGACCCUUACGGGAGGCAGCAGUGGGGAAUAUUGGACAAUGAGCGAAAGCCUGAUCCAGCAAUGCCGCGUGAGUGAUGAAGGCCUUAGGGUUGUAAAGAUCUUUUACCCGGGAUGAUAAUGACAGUACCGGGAGAAUAAGCUCCGGCUAACUCCGUG